UGAGGAAAUUGGCCGCCUUUCUUCAACUCAGGCCCCAAUAGCGAGGGGCUUCAGGCAAGGCAAGGUCUCAAUAGAAUUGUUGGGGUGCCCCUUGGUCAAUUAGUCCCAACUCGGUAGCCCGGGAUAUCCUCGGGUAAACGGUGCAGAUAGCAGGAGCGCAUACAAGACACGUCUUGUCAGCUAGGGAGUCAGGGUCUGCCCCCUUUAUUUAUUUAUUUUGGAGAGAUU